rnacentral:rRNA from 1 species
AUACAGAGGGUGCAAGCGUUAAUCGGAUUUACUGGGCGUAAAGCGCGCGUAGGCGGCUAAUUAAGUCAAAUGUGAAAUCCCCGAGCUUAACUUGGGAAUUGCAUUCGAUACUGGUUAGCUAGAGUGUGGGAGAGGAUGGUAGAAUUCCAGGUGUAGCGGUGAAAUGCGUAGAGAUCUGGAGGAAUACCGAUGGCGAAGGCAGCCAUCUGGCCUAACACUGACGCUGAGGUGCGAAAGCAUGGGGAGCAAACAGGAUUAGAUACCCCUGUAGUCC